rnacentral:rRNA from 1 species
AUGGACGGAAGUCUGACCGAGCAACGCCGCGUGAGUGAAGAAGGUUUUCGGAUCGUAAAGCUCUGUUGUAAGAGAAGAACGAGUGUGAGAGUGGUAAGUUCACACUGUGACGGUAUCUUACCAGAAAGGGACGGCUAACUACGUGCCAGCAGCCGCGGUAAUACGUAGGUCCCGAGCGUUGUCCGGAUUUAUUGGGCGUAAAGCGAGCGCAGGCGGUUAGAUAAGUCUGAAGUUAAAGGCUGUGGCUUAACCAUAGUACGCUUUGGAAACUGUUUAACUUGAGUGCAAGAGGGGAGAGUGGAAUUCCAUGUGUAGCGGUGAAAUGCGUAGAUAUAUGGAGGAACACCGGUGGCGAAAGCGGCUCUCUGGCUUGUAACUGACGCUGAGGCUCGAAAGCGUGGGGAGCAAACAGGAUUAGAUACCCUGGUAGUCCACGCCGUAAACGAUGAGUGCUAGGUGUUAGACCCUUUCCGGGGUUUAGUGCCGCAGCUAACGCAUUAAGCACUCCGCCUGGGGAGUACGACCGCAAGGUUGAAACUCAAAGGAAUUGACGGGGGCCCGCACAAGCGGUGGAGCAUGUGGUUUAAUGCGAAGCAACGCGAAGAACCUUACCAGGUCUUGACAUCCCUCUGACCGCUCUAGAGAUAGAGUUU